UUGACAGCCUGGAAGACAGAACUCUGUUUAUUCACAGAACACAUUAGCACAGGCAACAGGAAGGCAAAGUUCUCCAUGCUGCCUGUCACUGUAUCUCAACUCUGGCCUAGAGGGACCAGUUCUAGGUGUGAAAAGAGAGAGUUAAGUCUCCAUGCUCUUUUAACCCUUGGCCUUU
rnacentral:sRNA from 1 species